rnacentral:lncRNA from 12 species
AUUCAGCCGUGACCUAAUUGUCUUGGUGAGAGCUAUUAAUACACUGGAAGGAAUUCCUUCAGGUCCUCUCCUUCUCAUAAUGAAUUUUUUAAGGCAACAGUCACAAUCAAGGUCAGCUCACAAGGGCAUCGUUUGCCAUGGCACCAAUAGAGUAUCCAUAGAUGUCUGGAGUGGUGGUCAUAAGGCACUGGGCACAACAGGAGGGGUUUUUAGACCAUUGGAGAGCUAUCUUCUGCCUUUGUAAGAUGCUGCUCUCAGCUCCAAAUCUACUCACGUGGGCAAGUGGUUGAUGAGAUCAAGAGAAAAAGAUACGUAGCAGCAGCAUGAGGGCAGGACCUGUGUUUUUCAUCAUUGUUUAUCAUAGGUCCCAGUGCGUGCUUGCCUGUGUAUGUGUGUGUGUGUGUGCAAGUGCGUAGGUGCACACUUGUGUGCAUUUCUUUUCCUUGGUAUCUCUGUUUAUUGAUUCUGUUUCUGACCUUUAACCCUCCAACAUUCAUUCAAUCAAUCUCUAUAUACUGAGUACUGCUCUCUGGGGGGGAACGUGCUGGUGACCAGGAAUUCAGAUAAAAUAUAAGAAUUCUCACCCUCAAUUCUUAGUGAUUUAUUAGAAGAGAAUGUUUGGCUUUAUUUUGUUGCUUUUUUUUAUUAUGGACAUUUUCAGGCAUGCAAAAACAAAACAAAACAAAAGGAAAACUGUGAAACAAAUCUCAAUGUACUUACUAUCCAACUGCAAAAAUUAUUAGUAAAUGGCCAAUUUUGUUUCCUAUCCUCUUUUAUCCACUAAUUUU